AUUGAACGCUGGCGGCAGGCCUAACACAUGCAAGUCGAGCGGAGCGGCGGACGGGGGAGUACUGCCUAGGGAGCUGCCUGGUGGUGGGGGAUACCGUCCGGAAACGGGCCCUAAUACCGCAUACUAUCAGAUGAGCCUCGGUCGGCUUAGCUAGUUGGUGGGGCAAUGGCCUACCAAGGCGACGAUCCGUAACUGGUCUGAGAGGAUGAUCAGUCACACUGGAACUGAGACACGGUCCAGACUCCUACGGGAGGCAGCAGUGGGGAAUAUUGGACAAUGGGCGAAAGCCUGAUCCAGCCAUGCCGCGUGUGUGAAGAAGGUCUUCGGAUUGUAAAGCACUUUAAGUUGGGAGGCGUUACCAACAGAAUAAGCACCGGCUAACUUCGUGCCAGCAGCCGCGGUAAUUC
rnacentral:rRNA from 1 species